rnacentral:rRNA from 1 species
UACAGAGGUCUCAAGCGUUGUUCGGAUUCAUUGGGCGUAAAGGGUGCGUAGGCGGCGCGGUAAGUCGGGUGUGAAAUCUCGGAGCUUAACUCCGAAACUGCAUUCGAUACUGCCGUGCUUGAGGACUGGAGAGGAGACUGGAAUUUACGGUGUAGCGGUGAAAUGCGUAGAUAUCGUAAGGAAGACCAGUGGCGAAGGCGGGUCUCUGGACCGUAACUGACGCUGAGACACGAAAGCGUGGGUAGCAAACAGG